rnacentral:rRNA from 1 species
UACGUAGGGUGCGAGCGUUAAUCGGAAUACUGGGCGUAAAGCGUGCGCAGGCGGUGAUGUAAGACAGGUGUGAAAUCCCGGGGCUCAACCUCGGAACUGCAUUUGUGACUGCAUCGCUGGAGUGCGGCAGAGGGGGAUGGAAUUCCGCGUGUAGCAGUGAAAUGCGUAGAUAUGCGGAGGAACACCGAUGGCGAAGGCAAUCCCCUGGGCCUGCACUGACGCUCAUGCACGAAAGCGUGGG